GUUGCAAAGUGCGUCGAUGAGCUGUGGGUAGGGGUGAAAGGCCAAACAAAUCUGGAGAUAGCUGGUUCUCCCCGAAAACUAUUGAGGUAGUGCCUCGUAAUACACCGUCGGGGGUAGAGCACUGUUAUGGCUAGGGGGACAUGGCGUCCUACCAACCCAUGGCAAACUCCGAAUACCGACGAGUGCUUUUACGGGAGACAGUGCACCGGGUGCUAACGUCCGGACACGAGAGGGAAACAACCCAGACCGCCAGCUAAGGCCCCCAAGCAAUGGCUAAGUGUGAAACGAAGUGGGAAGGCACAAACAGUCAGGAGGUUGGCUUAGAAGCAGCCAUCCUUUAAAGAAAGCGUAAUAGCUCACUGAUCGAGUCGUCCUGCGCGGAAGAUGUAACGGGGCUCAAGCCAUUUGCCGAAGCUGCGGAUUCACGCGCAAGCGUGAGUGGUAGGGGAGCGUUCUGUACGCCUGCGAAGGGAGUUCGAGAGGACUCCUGGAGGUAUCAGAAGUGCGAAUGCUGACAUGAGUAGCGUUAAACAGGGUGAAAAGCCCUGUCGCCGUAAGCCCAAGGUUUCCUGCGCCACGUUCAUCGGCGCAGGGUGAGUCGGCUCCUAAGGCGAGGCCGAAAGGCGUAGCUGAUGGAAAACAGGUCAAUAUUCCUGUACCUGUCCGUGAUGCGAUGUGGGGACGGAGAAGGUUAUGCAGGCCGGGUGUUGGACGUCCCGGUUCAAGCGAGUAGGCGUGCCGCGUUGGCAAAUCCGCGUGGCUUAGCCGAGACGCGACGACGAGCGUUCUUCGGAACGCGAAGCGGCAGAUACCAUGCUUCCAAGAAAAGCCACUAAGCUUCAGUCACGGAUGGACCGUACCGAAAACCGACACUGGUGGGCGAGAUGAAUAUUCUCAGGCGCUUGAGAGAACUCUGGAGAAGGAACUCGGCAAAUUGACACCGUAACUUCGGGAGAAGGUGUGCCUCUAGUAGGUGAAGGCGUACAGCCGGAGCCGAAUGGGGUCUCAGAAAAUCGGUGGCUGCGACUGUUUAUUAAAAACACAGCACUCUGCAAACACGAAAGUGGACGUAUAGGGUGUGACGCCUGCCCGGUGCCGGAAGGUUAAGUGAUGGGGUGCAAGCUCCUGAUCGAAGCCCCGGUAAACGGCGGCCGUAACUAUAACGGUCCUAAGGUAGCGAAAUUCCUUGUCGGGUAAGUUCCGACCUGCACGAAUGGCGUAACGCUGGCCACACUGUCUCCUCCAGAGACUCAGCGAAGUUGAAAUGGUUGUGAUGAUGCAAUCUACCCGCGGCUAGACGGAAAGACCCCGUGCACCUUUACUGUAGCUUUGCACUGGACUGUGAACCGAUCUGUGUAGGAUAGCUGGGAGGCUUUGAAGCGGGGGCGCUAGCUCUCGUGGAGCCGUCGUUGAAAUACCAGCCUGAUUUGUUUGCGGUUCUAACCUAGGCUCGUCAUCCGGGCUGGGGA
rnacentral:rRNA from 1 species